GACGAAGGUGGCUAGCGUUGUUCGGUGUCACUGGGCUUAAAGAGUAUGUAGGCGGAAAAGUAAGCGUUUUGUGAAAUCCCUCAGCUUAACUGAGGAAUUGCUUGGCGAACUGCUUUUCUUGAGGCAAGUAGGGGUGCAUGGAACUCUUGGUGGAGCGGUGGAAUGCGUAGAUAUCAAGAGGAACGCCGGUGGUGAAGACGGUGCACUGGGCUUGUCCUGACGCUCAGAUAAGAAAGCGUGGGGAGCAAACAGG
rnacentral:rRNA from 1 species